rnacentral:rRNA from 1 species
UACGAAGGGGGCUAGCGUUGCUCGGAAUCACUGGGCGUAAAGGGUGCGUAGGCGGGUCUUUAAGUCAGGGGUGAAAUCCUGAAGCUCAACUUCAGAACUGCCUUCGAUACUGGGGACCUUGAGUUCGGGAGAGGUGAGUGGAACUGCGAGUGUAGAGGUGAAAUUCGUAGAUAUUCGCAAGAACACCAGUGGCGAAGGCGGCUCACUGGCCCGAUACUGACGCUGAGGUGCGAAAGCGUGGGGAGCAAACAGG